UACGUAGGGUGCGAGCGUUGUCCGGAAUUAUUGGGCGUAAAGGUCUCGUAGGCGGUUUGUCGCGUCGGGAGUGAAAUCCACUGGCUUAACUGGUGGCUUGCUUUCGAUACGGGCAGACUGGAGGUAUGCAGGGGAGAACGGAAUUCCUGGUGUAGCGGUGAAAUGCGCAGAUAUCAGGAGGAACACCGGUGGCGAAGGCGGUUCUCUGGGCAUGUCCUGACGCUGAGGAGCGAAAGUGUGGGGAGCGAACAGG
rnacentral:rRNA from 1 species